rnacentral:rRNA from 1 species
AGCGAACGCUGGCGGCAGGCUUAACACAUGCAAGUCGAACGCGUGUAGCAAUACACGAGUGGCGCACGGGUGAGUAACGCGUGGGCAUCUGCCUCAUGGUUCGGAAUAACCCCGGGAAACUGGGGCUAAUACCGGAUGGUACCUUCGGGUUAAAGAUUUAUCGCCAUGAGAUGAGCCCGCGUCCGAUUAGCUAGUUGGUGAGGUAACGGCUCACCAAGGCGACGAUCGGUAGCUGGUCUGAGAGGACGAUCAGCCACACUGGGACUGAGACACGGCCCAGACUCCUACGGGAGGCAGCAGUGGGGAAUAUUGGACAAUGGGGGCAACCCUGAUCCAGCCAUGCCGCGUGAGUGAUG